rnacentral:rRNA from 1 species
GCGGCAUGCCUAAUACAUGCAAGUCGAUCGGAUGUAGCAAUACAUUAGAGGCGAACGGGUGAGUAACACGUAUCCAAUCUGCCUUAUAGUGGGGGAUAACUAGUCGAAAGAUUAGCUAAUACCGCAUAACAAGUUAACUAUCGCAUGAGAAUAACUUUAAAGAAGCAACUGCUUCGCUAUAAGAUGAGGGUGCGGCAUAUCAGCUAGUUGGUGAGGAUAAUGGCCCACCAAGGCGAUGACGUGUAGUUAUGCUGAGAGGUAGAAUAACCACAAUGGGACUGAGACACGGCCCAUACCUACGGGAGGCAGCAGUAGGGAAUUUUUCACAAUGGACGAAAGUCUGAUGGAGCAAUGCCGCGUGAACGAUGAACGUCUUUUUAGAUUGUAAAGUUCUUUUAUUUGGGAAGAACAGUUAGUAGAGUGGAAAGCUAUUAAUUUGACUGUACCAUUUGAAUAAGUAACGACUAACUAUGUGCCAGCAGUCGCGGUAAUACAUAGGUUGCAAGCGUUAUCCGGAUUUAUUGGGCGUAAAACAAGCGCAGGCGGAUUAGAAAGUCUGGUGUUACCAAUUGCUUAACGAUUGUAUGCAUUGGAAACUUCUAGUCUAGAGUUUGGUAGAGAGUCCUGGAACUCCAUGUGGAGCGGUGAAAUGCGUAGAUAUAUGGAAGAACACCAGAGGCGAAGGCGAGGACUUGGGCCAAUACUGACGCUUAGGCUUGAAAGUGUGGGGAGCAAAUAGGAUUAGAUACCCUAGUAGUCCACACUGUAAACGAUGGAUGUUAAGUGUCGGAGCGAAUACUUCGGUGCUGCAGUUAACACAUUAAACAUCCUGCCUGAGUAGUACAUUCGCAAGAAUGAAACUCAAACGGAAUUGACGGGGACCCGCACAAGUGGUGGAGCAUGUUGCUUAAUUCGACGGUACACGAAAAACCUUACCUAGACUUGACAUCUUGGGCGAAGCUAUAGAAAUAUAGUGGAGGUCAACCCAAUGACAGGUGGUGCAUGGUUGUCGUCAGCUCGUGUCGUGAGAUGUUGGGUUAAGU